CCUACGGGGUGCAGCAGUGAGGAAUAUUGGUCAAUGGGCGCGAGCCUGAACCAGCCAAGUAGCGUGAAGGAUGACUGCCCUCCGGGUUGUAAACUUCUUUUAUAAAGGAAUAAAGUGAGGCACGUGUGCCUUUUUGUAUGUACUUUAUGAAUAAGGAUCGGCUAACUCCGUGCCAGCAGCCGCGGUAAUACGGAGGAUCCGAGCGUUAUCCGGAUUUAUUGGGUUUAAAGGGAGCGUAGGUGGGUUGUUAAGUCAGUUGUGAAAGUUUGGGGCUCAACCUUGAAAUUGCAAUUGAUACUGGCAGGCUGGAGUACAGUAGAGGUAGGCGGAAUUCGUGGUGUAGCGGUGAAAUGCUUAGAGAUCACGAAGAACUCCGAUGGCGAAGGCAGCCUACUAAACUGCCACUGACAUUGAGGCUCGAAAGUGUGGGUAUCAAACAGGAUUAGAUACCCGAGUAGUC
rnacentral:rRNA from 1 species